CAGUCGCCACGGGAAUACCAGCAGCCCAAGUGGUGGUCGCGAUUAUUGGGCCUAAAGCGCUCGUAGCCGGGCCGGUAAGUCCCUUGUGAAAUCGGACGGCCUAACCGUUCGGCGUGCAAGGGAUACUGUCGGUCUUGAGGCCGGGAGACGUCCGAGGUACUCCGGGGGAAGCGGUGAAAUGUUCUGAUCCUCGGGGGACCACCGGUGGCGAAGGCGUUCGACGAGAACGGGCCUGACGGUGAGGGGCGAAGGCUAGGGGAGCAAACGGGAUUAGAUACCCCGGUAGUCCCUGUCUCUUAUA
rnacentral:rRNA from 1 species